UGAGGAAUAUUGCACAAUGGAGGAAACUCUGAUGCAGCAACGCCGCGUGGAGGAUGACGCAUUUCGGUGUGUAAACUCCUUUUAAGAGGGAAGAUUAUGACGGUACCUCUUGAAUAAGCACCGGCUAACUCCGUGCCAGCAGCCGCGGUAAUACGGAGGGUGCAAGCGUUACUCGGAAUCACUGGGCGUAAAGGGUGCGUAGGCUGACUUUUAAGUCAGGUGUGAAAUCCAAUGGCUUAACCAUUGAACUGCACUUGAAACUGGGAGUCUAGAGUUCAGAAGGGGCAGAUGGAAUUAGUGGUGUAGGGGUAAAAUCCGUAGAUAUCACUAGGAAUAUCAAAAGCGAAGGCGAUCUGCUGGGAUGAUACUGACGCUGAGGCACGAAAGCGUGGGGAGCAAACAG
rnacentral:rRNA from 1 species